rnacentral:rRNA from 1 species
AACGAACGCUGGCGGCAGGCCUAACACAUGCAAGUCGAGGGAGAAGCACCUUUCGGGGUGUGGAGACCGGCGCACGGGUGCGUAACGCGUGGGAACCUGCCCUGAAGUAGGGAAUAACCGUUGGAAACGACGGCUAAUACCCUAUGUGCCUUACGAGGUAAAGAUUUAUCGCUUUGGGAUGGGCCCGCGUUGGAUUAGCUAGUUGGUAGGGUAACGGCCUACCAAGGCGACGAUCCAUAGCUGGUUUGAGAGGAUGAUCAGCCACACUGGGACUGAGACACGGCCCAG